rnacentral:rRNA from 1 species
CCCAGACUCCUACGGGAGGCAGCAGUGGGGAAUAUUGCACAAUGGGGGGAACCCUGAUGCAGCGACGCCGCGUGAGUGAAGAAGUAUUUCGGUAUGUAAAGCUCUAUCAGCAGGGACGAAGAUGACGGUACCUGCAGAAGAAGCCCCGGCUAACUACGUGCCAGCAGCCGCGGUAAUACGUAGGGGGCAAGCGUUAUCCGGAUUUACUGGGUGUAAAGGGAGCGUAGACGGCAGCACAAGUCUGGAGUGAAAUGCCGGGGCUUAACCCCGGAACUGCUUUGGAAACUGUGCAGCUAGAGUGCAGGAGAGGUAAGUGGAAUUCCUAGUGUAGCGGUGAAAUGCGUAGAUAUUAGGAGGAACACCAGUGGCGAAGGCGGCUUACUGGACUGUAACUGACGUUGAGGCUCGAAAGCGUGGGGAGCAAACAGGAUUAGAUACCCCAGUAAAC